UACGAAGGGUGGAAGCGUUACUCGGAAUUACUGGGCGUAAAGCGUGCGUAGGUGGUUCGUUAAGUCUGAUGUGAAAGCCCUGGGCUCAACCUGGGAAUGGCAUUGGAAACUGGCGACCUAGAGUGCGGUAGAGGGUAGUGGAAUUCCCGGUGUAGCAGUGAAAUGCGUAGAGAUCGGGAGGAACAUCCGUGGCGAAGGCGACUACCUGGACCAGCACUGACACUCAGGGACGAAAGCUAGGGGAGCGAAUGGG
rnacentral:rRNA from 1 species